UCCAGCGCACACGGAGAGAGGCAGGCCCCGGCGACAGCGAGCACACGACUCCACCACCGCCGCCGGCGAGGGUUAGGACCCGUGGUCGCCGCCAAGUGGACUCCCGUGCGGCGGCGAUGGCGAGGAGAUCUACUUAUGGACCCUUCUUGAUGGCAAGGAAGAUUGCAGUACAUGGCCAAGCGAAUCGGUCUAAGUCGACUCAGACCAGCCACCUCCCUUGUGGUAAUGCUUUUUUCUGCACCCUCGGCGAGCAAUUUGCGGCCACCAAUGGGAAGAAUAGAGGGGAAAUGAGGAGAAAAACCAAGAAGGUCAAUGUAAGAUCGGCCUUCAUCAUUGAUAAUAGCAUCCACCGCGAUGCGUCUAUAUGCAGAAACUCUUUUCUCCAUAAGAUAUGUAGUGUUAAAAACCGUAAUGAGAGUAAGUGAUGCAAAUCCCUCUCCUGUAUUGCUCCUUUUAAUUUGGGAUAUUUUACAAGUCGUAUGAUUUAUCGAUUAAAAGUUUGAGGCUGAAUGUACAUGAUUUUGUUUUGA